UCCCUGAACAUGCAGCAGUCCCCUGUCACUCAUACCAUUCUGCUCUCUGUUUCUCUCCCAGGAGAACAUUGCUGGGGUGUUCAAUAAGUCAUGUGCCAUCAGUUACACUGCGUACCGCAACAUCUUCCCAAUCUGGACGCUGGGCCGAUUCUGCCGGCUGCAUCCCAGCAGCCCUCUGGCUGGGCAGCUGCCAGCCAGAGCCAGACCCUCAGCUGAGGCAGGGCAGGAGGAGCAGGGAGCCCUGUCUGCUUAAACCUGGACCUCUGGGGAUGCCAUGGCCCUGGACUUGUCUUGGAUCCCGGUGUCUGCAUGGGGCCAUGGCGGUGUGUGCUGCAUGGGAUAUCUCAGUGCUGACCUGUGGACUGCUGCCCCUGCCAGGAAGGGGUGCUGCACUGGUGCUGCAGAGCCUCUGCGUGCUGUUGAACCUCUUCUAAACAUUCCCUUUCUAAGUUUUUUUCCAGGUGAAGUCACUACCAGCCCUUGGAAAAGGGGCAGCUGAAGCAGAAAGCUGUGAGGUGGGGCAUUCACAGGUCAUUGUCAGAGCUGGAUAGCAGAUAGGAUAAUAAAUUGCUAAGCGUGAUGCA
rnacentral:lncRNA from 1 species